rnacentral:rRNA from 1 species
CCUACGGGCGGCUGCAGUGGGGAAUAUUGGACAAUGGGCGAAAGCCUGAUCCAGCCAUGUCGCGUGUGUGAAGAAGGCCUUCGGGUUGUAAAGCACUUUCAGUGGGGAAGAAAGCCUUGGGGCUAAUACCCUCGAGGAAGGACAUCACCCACAGAAGAAGCACCGGCUAACUCCGUGCCAGCAGCCGCGGUAAUACGGAGGGUGCGAGCGUUAAUCGGAAUUACUGGGCGUAAAGCGCGCGUAGGCGGUCUGAUAAGCCGGUUGUGAAAGCCCCGGGCUCAACCUGGGAACGGCAUCCGGAACUGUCAGGCUAGAGUGCAGGAGAGGAAGGUAGAAUUCCCGGUGUAGCGGUGAAAUGCGUAGAGAUCGGGAGGAAUACCAGUGGCGAAGGCGGCCUUCUGGACUGACACUGACGCUGAGGUGCGAAAGCGUGGGUAGCAAACAGGAUUAGAUACCUGGUAGUC